GGGCCCUUAGCUCAGCGGUUAGAGCGUCCCGCUCAUAACGGGUUGGUCGGUGGUUCAACUCCACCAGGGCCCA
rnacentral:tRNA from 1 species